rnacentral:ncRNA from 2 species
AUGUUAUCAAGAAAGGUGGAGGGAUUAGACCCGCUGAAACCUUAGCAACCCUUAGACUUACUAAGAAGGUGCUAAAUUCUACUAGAAGUUACGAAUCAUUUCUCGUAAUUCUAGAUAGAUAACCC